UAUCACAGCCAUAUUACCCUGAAACCCAAGAGCGGUUACUCACUGAAGCUAAGCAGGGCUGAGCCUGGUCAGUACCUGGAUGGGAGACCACUAGGGAACACUAGGUUGCUGUUUGAA
rnacentral:rRNA from 1 species